rnacentral:rRNA from 1 species
GACGAACGCUGGCGGCGUGCUUAACACAUGCAAGUCGAACGGAAAGGCCCUGCUUUUGUGGGGUGCUCGAUUGGCGAACGGGUGAGUAACACGUGAGUAACCUGCCCUUGACUUUGGGAGAACUUCAGGAAACGGGGGCUAAGACCGGAUAGGAUCUCCUGCUGCGUGGUGGGGGUUGGAAAGUUUCGGCGGGUGGGGAUGGACUCGCGGCUUAUCAGCUUGUUGGUGGGGUAGUGGCUUACCAAGGCUUUGACGGGUAGCCGGCCUGAGAGGGUGACCGGCCACCUUGGGACUGAGAUACGGACCAGACUCCUACGGGAGGCAGCAGUGGGGAAUAUUGCACAAUGGGCGGACGCCUGAUGCAGCAACGCCGCGUGCGGGAUGACGGUCUUCGGGUUGUAAACCGCUUCCGCCUGUGACGAAGCGUGAGUGACGGUAAUGGGUAAAGAAGCACCGGCUAACUACGUG